GACGAACCGUGCGAACGUUGUUCGGAUUCACUGGGCUUAAAGGGCGCGUAGGCGGGUCAUCAAGUCAGGGGUGAAAUCUUUCGGCUCAACCGGAAAAGUGCCCCUGAUACUGGUGGUCUUGAGGGAGGUAGGGGCAUGUGGAACUUCCGGUGGAGCGGUGAAAUGCGUAGAUAUCGGAAGGAACGCCGGUGGCGAAAGCGACGUGCUGGAUCUCUACUGACGCUGAGGCGCGAAAGCCAGGGGAG
rnacentral:rRNA from 1 species